ensembl:lncRNA
UCCAUCCUGUGGUCCUCCAGGACCUAAAGCCAAUGGAGGUGGCUGUUCCUGGACAUAACAGGCUCAGCAAGUUGUCAGCAGCCUCAGGACUCAGCAGGAGUGGUCAGCGUUCACGGCAGGAGGUCCCUCCUUUCUCCUGAAUCUGUAGGUCCCAGUGCAGGGUCAUUUCUAUGUCCUUUCUCAUCACUCUGCUUCCUGCUCACUGGUUCGCAGCUCAAGUCUGAAGGCAGUUGAACAGCCAGCCUCAAUAGGAUGAAAGAGCAAUCGCUUGCUGAGCCGUGACUCCCACGACUGAUGAGAGUUGACCAUGGAAGGCAUACACAGAGCUUCAGUUCAAGCUCAUGAGGAUGAACAAGUGGCUGUGUGGAGCUGAGCUGCCUGCUUGGAUUAAACCCUAACACAAAGCAAGUCGAGACCAGCCUCAAGAGCCUGUUAUGUCAGGUAAAGAAAACCUGAGGAAGGGAAUAUGAAUAUCCAUUCCACUUGAUUGAUCCUCCCUGUCCUGGAAGAAAGAUCCUACUUGGAGGAUGAAAAUAAACAUUCUGAG